UUUUGCCUACGGGGGGCAGCAGUUAGGAAUAUUCGUCAAUGGGGGAAACCCUGAACGAGCAAUGCCGCGUGAAGGAAGAAGGUCCUAUGGAUUGUAAACUUCUGUUGUAAAGGAAGAACGACCUAAGUAGGAAAUGACUUAGGAGUGACGGUACUUUAUUAGAAAGCUCCGGCUAACUACGUGCCAGCAGCCGCGGUAAUACGUAGGGAGCGAGCGUUAUCCGGAAUUAUUGGGUGUAAAGGGUGCGUAGGCGGUUUGAUAAGUCAGUGGUGAAAGCCUAGAGCUUAACUCUAGUAAGCCAUUGA
rnacentral:rRNA from 1 species